rnacentral:rRNA from 1 species
AUGAAGCUACAGCUGCCGCAGCAAGAAAGAGGGCGCUAUUACCGUCGGCUGAUGUGGUCCACCGUCCACGACGAACUUGCAGUGGUCGCCGCCGCCCGCGGUGGCGGUGCCCUGCUGGCCUUCUUCUUCUCCGGCCUGUUGCCGCAGAGGAGGACCAUGACAGAUAUGGCCACCACCCCCAGCAGCAGAAGGAGCCACGGCGUCUGCUGCUCCUGCGUGCCCAAGCCCGCAGCAGCAGCGGAGGCCAGAAGAGCUCGCUUCAUUCUGCUAUGGUCCCUCCCUGGCCUCUACCACUGGAUAUCUCUCACGAAUUUGAGUUUGGAUCAAGUGCAGCGCAAGAUUUGA